CGUUUAUUUGAUAGUACCUUACUACUUGGAUAACCGUGGUAAUUCUAGAGCUAAUACAUGCUGAAAACCCCAACUUCGGAAGGGAUGUAUUUAUUAGAUUAAAAACCAAUGCCCUCUGGGCUCCUUGGUGAUUCAUAAUAACUUUUCGAAUCGCACGGCCUUGCGCCGGCGAUGGUUCAUUCAAAUUUCUUCCCUAUCAACUUUCGAUGUUUGGGUAUUGGCCAAACAUGGUUGCAACGGGUAACGGAGGGUUAGGGCUCGACCCCGGAGAAGGAGCCUGAGAAACGGCUACUACAUCCAAGGAAGGCAGCAGGCGCGCAAAUUACCCAAUCCCGAUUCGGGGAGGUAGUGACAAUAAAUACUGAUACAGGGCUCUUUUGGGUCUUGUAAUUGGAAUGAGUACAAUUUAAAUCUCUUAACGAGGAACAAUUGGAGGGCAAGUCUGGUGCCAGCAGCCGCGGUAAUUCCAGCUCCAAUAGCGUAUAUUAAAGUUGUUGUGGUUAAAAAGCUCGUAGUUGAACCUUGGGCCUGGCUGGCCGGUCCGCCUCACCGCGUGUACUGGUCCGGCCGGGCCUUUCCCUCUGUGGAACCACAUGCCCUUCACUGGGUGUGGCGGGGAAACAGGACUUUUACUUUGAAAAAAUUAGAGUGCUCCAGGCAGGCCUAUGCUCGAAUACAUUAGCAUGGAAUAAUAAAAUAGGACGCGUGGUUCUAUUUUGUUGGUUUCUAGGACCGCCGUAAUGAUUAAUAGGGACAGUCGGGGGCAUCAGUAUUCAAUUGUCAGAGGUGAAAUUCUUGGAUUUAUUGAAGACUAACUACUGCGAAAGCAUUUGCCAAGGAUGUUUUCAUUAAUCAGGAACGAAAGUUAGGGGAUCGAAGACGAUCAGAUACCGUCGUAGUCUUAACCAUAAACUAUGCCGACUAGGGAUCGGACGAUGUUAUCAUAGACUCGUUCUG
rnacentral:rRNA from 1 species